UUCCUUUCCUUCAUCUUAUUAGAGACAUGCAGCAGUGACUUUCUCUGUGAGUGUGGUUUUACUGCAGGCCUACCAGCGGUAUGUCAACACGGAUGGGAAGGAGCAUGCUGGUGUUCCAGUCCCACUGUAUUCAGAACUAAGUACUCUGGAUACUCCUGCUUCUGCUACCCAAUCUCCGCCACCCUCCUCUGCCUUUUCACUUGCUCAGCUGGAACUUCUCCAGGCAAUUUGAACCGGAAGAUCUGUUCUGUUUUGAUGUAUGCAACAACCCACUUUAAGUAAACAACAACUCCUGUCCAGCCUAUGCUUCCUCCUCCCAUGGUGUGCACUGAGCAUUCAGCUGCGGCUGCAGUAUGAGGAUCGUGUCCUACACCCUGGAUGAGUCCCCCACUCUGGAUGUGUCCUCACAUUCUGGGUGAGGGCCUGAAGAUGCUGAACCAAGGCCACUGGCGAGUGUUAUCCAACAGAAGAUGAGAUUACCUUUCUGCGGAUAGAGAAGACCAACGGCAAUGUUGCCAUCCUUCCUCCCCUCCAGGUGGUGAAACUUUGAUCUUCUCUUAGUUGAGCCAGUGCCAGAGGCUCCGCUCCCCACUGUUGGCUCAUUGGAGAGAUGGGGCAAACUCAUGCUGAAGAAGUUACACAGGCACGAAUUGCAGAUAUAAUGCUGGCUGUGAAGUCAGCAAUGUCUCACAUUGCUCUAGAUGUCUCUUUCAGGUACUGGAGAGAAAAUUACACCGAACACAAAUGUUCAGCUCUAUAGUAGCUGCUCAUACCACAGUUGGUAUGAGGCAUGGACAGACUUUUUUUUUUUUUUUAAUUUACCUGUUCACUGCUAUGAUGAGACACAGGAAAAAUCCACUUCAGAAUGCCUUGGUUUGCUAAAGACAGUCUUUUGAACUAAGCUACCACAUGUUCAGGAGGAAAAGUAAAGCUGUCACGGAAUGCGUCCCAUGGGCUCGUAAAAAAAUGUAGUCAUUAACAAAGAUUAAAAAAAAGAGAGAGAGAGAAAGCUAAAGUGUGACAUUUACAAUAAGGAAAAAAAGUGCCGAGAGUAGCUCAGAUCUUAAGGAAAAACCAUAAGAGCGGAAAGACCACGAAUGGUAUUUUUUUCAACUUUCUGCAGAAAAAAAAUCCUAAAAUACCUGUUACUUGAAAAGUCUCUAACUUAAGGAAGUACAGAAGAGAUUCCUGGGAAAAUGAAGCAUUGUGGGAGCAGCUGCAGGUUAUACUUCCACCAGAGCUGGUGCAGAGGACAUCCUCCUCCCCAGCCCCAGCUCACCCAUCACCAGAGAGUACAAAAACAUUGGCCAGAAGACUCUCUUGGAAGAUUAUGUUUACGAACUGAAAGGUAGGGGAAAGUGCUCAGUUUUAUUUAUUUUUAAAUCUUCCUAGAACAAUGACUUGAAUGGAAAUCUAACCUCACGUUUUUUAACAAAAACAAACAUUUAGAUGCAAAUUAUUUUUCUAACUGCUGAGUUGAUUCUAUUGCAGUCUUAUUAUAAAUGUAAUUUUUG
ensembl:lncRNA